CACUCGAUGGCGCAAGGUGCGCACUUGCUACAUUGUCGGAUAUGUAACACAUGUGUAAGCAGGGAGGUCCUCGUUCGAUUCGGGGUCGGGUGA